rnacentral:rRNA from 2 species
UUCGGAGGGAGUGGCGCACGGGUGCGUAACGCGUGGGAACCUGCCCUUAGGUUCGGAAUAACUCAGAGAAAUUUGAGCUAAUACCGGAUAAUGUCUUCGGACCAAAGAUUUAUCGCCUUUGGAUGGGCCCGCGUUGGAUUAGAUAGUUGGUGGGGUAAUGGCCUACCAAGUCGACGAUCCAUAGCUGGUCUGAGAGGAUGAUCAGCCACACUGGGACUGAGACACGGCCCAGACUCCUACGGGAGGCAGCAGUGGGGAAUAUUGGACAAUGGGCGAAAGCCUGAUCCAGCAAUGCCGCGUGAGUGAUGAAGGCCUUAGGGUUGUAAAGCUCUUUUACCAGGGAUGAUAAUGACAGUACCUGGAGAAUAAGCUCCGGCUAACUCCGUGCCAGCAGCCGCGGUAAUACGGAGGGAGCUAGCGUUGUUCGGAAUUACUGGGCGUAAAGCGCACGUAGGCGGCUUUUCAAGUCAGGGGUGAAAUCCCGGGGCUCAACCCCGGAACUGCCCUUGAAACUGGAUGGCUAGAAUACUGGAGAGGUGAGUGGAAUUCCGAGUGUAGAGGUGAAAUUCGUAGAUAUUCGGAAGAACACCAGUGGCGAAGGCGACUCACUGGACAGUUAUUGACGCUGAGGUGCGAAAG